CAGCAGCCGCGGUAAUACCGAGGAUGCAAGCGUUAUCCGGAAUGAUUGGGCGUAAAGCGUCUGUAGGUGGCUUUUCAAGUCCGCCGUCAAAUCCCAGGGCUCAACCCUGGACAGGCGGUGGAAACUACCAAGCUAGAGUACGGUAGGGGCAGAGGGAAUUUCCGGUGGAGCGGUGAAAUGCGUUGAGAUCGAAAAGAACACCAACGACGAAAGCACUUUGCUGGGUCGACACUGACACUGAGAGACGAAAGCUAGGGGAGCAAAUGGGAUUAGAUACCCGUGUAGUCCCUGUCUCUUAUAA
rnacentral:rRNA from 1 species